GAUGAAGAACGUAGCAAAAUGCGAUACUUGGUGUGAAUUGCAGAAUCCCGUGAACCAUCGAGUUUUUGAACGCAAGUUGCGCCCGAAGCCUUUUGGCCGAGGGCACGUCUGCCUGGGCGUCACGCAUCGCGUCGCCCCCCACAAUUCUCCGUAAAGGGAACAUGUGUUUUGGUGGCGGAUAUUGGUCUCCCGUGCUCAUGGCGUGGUUGGCCGAAAUAGGAGUCCUUUCGAUGGACGCACGAACUAGUGGUGGUCGUAAAAACCCUCGUCUUUUGUUUCGUGCUGUUGCUCGCAAGGUAAACUCUUUAAAAACCCCAAUGUGUCGUCUCUUGACGACGCUUCGACCGCGACCCCAGGUCAGGCGGGACUACCCGCUGAGUUUAAGCAUAUCAAUAAGCGGAGGA
rnacentral:misc_RNA from 1 species